GAUCAUGGCUCAGGAUGAACGCUAGCGGCAGGCCUAACACACGCAAGUCGAGGGGCAGCGGGAUUGAAGCUUGCUUCAAUUGCCGGCGACCGGCGCACGGGUGCGUAACGCGUAUGCAACCUACCCAUAACAGGGGGAUAACACUGAGAAAUCGGUACUAAUAUCCCAUAACAUCAAGAGGGGCAUCCCUUUUGGUUGAAAACUCCGGUGGUUAUGGAUGGGCAUGCGUUGUAUUAGCUGGUUGG
rnacentral:rRNA from 1 species